UUAAGUUCAGCGGGUAGUCUCACCCGAUUUGAGGUCAAGGUUGUGGGUCAAGUGGCAAUCACUUGACCAUUGUCUUCUAUGAGACGGUUAGAAGCAGGAACGGUGCGAAACCCAAGACGUAGAAAAUAUCUUAUCACGUCAAGGAUCAGCAAAGCAGACCCCACUAAUUCAUUUCAGAGGAGCUGGCUUCAACAAAGAAA
rnacentral:misc_RNA from 1 species